rnacentral:rRNA from 1 species
GAGAAGGCUAUGUUGGCCGGGCGACGGUUGUCCCGGUUUAAGCGUGUAGGCUGGUUUUCCAGGCAAAUCCGGAAAAUCAAGGCUGAGGCGUGAUGACGAGGCACUACGGUGCUGAAGCAACAAAUGCCCUGCUUCCAGGAAAAGCCUCUAAGCAUCAGGUAACAUCAAAUCGUACCCCAAACCGACACAGGUGGUCAGGUAGAGAAUACCAAGGCGCUUGAGAGAACUCGGGUGAAGGAACUAGGCAAAAUGGUGCCGUAACUUCGGGAGAAGGCACGCUGAUAUGUAGGUGAAGUCCCUCGCGGAUGGAGCUGAAAUCAGUCGAAGAUACCAGCUGGCUGCAACUGUUUAUUAAAAACACAGCACUGUGCAAACACGAAAGUGGACGUAUACGGUGUGACGCCUGCCCGGUGCCGGAAGGUUAAUUGAUGGGGUUAGCGCAAGCGAAGCUCUUGAUCGAAGCCCCGGUAAACGGCGGCCGUAACUAUAACGGUCCUAAGGUAGCGAAAUUCCUUGUCGGGUAAGUUCCGACCUGCACGAAUGGCGUAAUGAUGGCCAGGCUGUCUCCACCCGAGACUCAGUGAAAUUGAACUCGCUGUGAAGAUGCAGUGUACCCGCGGCAAGACGGAAAGACCCCGUGAACCUUUACUAUAGCUUGACACUGAACAUUGAGCCUUGAUGUGUAGGAUAGGUGGGAGGCUUUGAAGUGUGGACGCCAGUCUGCAUGGAGCCGACCUUGAAAUACCACCCUUUAAUGUUUGAUGUUCUAACGUUGACCCGUGAUCCGGGUUGCGGACAGUGUCUGGUGGGUAGUUUGACUGGGGCGGUCUCCUCCUAAAGAGUAACGGAGGAGCACGAAGGUUGGCUAAUCCUGGUCGGACAUCAGGAGGUUAGUGCAAUGGCAUAAGCCAGCUUGACUGCGAGCGUGACGGCGCGAGCAGGUGCGAAAGCAGGUCAUAGUGAUCCGGUGGUUCUGAAUGGAAGGGCCAUCGCUCAACGGAUAAAAGGUACUCCGGGGAUAACAGGCUGAUACCGCCCAAGAGUUCAUAUCGACGGCGGUGUUUGGCACCUCGAUGUCGGCUCAUCACAUCCUGGGGCUGAAGUAGGUCCCAAGGGUAUGGCUGUUCGCCAUUUAAAGUGGUACGCGAGCUGGGUUUAGAACGUCGUGAGACAGUUCGGUCCCUAUCUGCCGUGGGCGCUGGAGAAC